UACGGGGGGGGCAAGCGUUGUUCGGAAUUACUGGGCGUAAAGGGCUCGUAGGCGGCCAACUAAGUCAGACGUGAAAUCCCUCGGCUUAACCGGGGAACUGCGUCUGAUACUGGAUGGCUAGAGUGUGGGAGAGGGAUGCGGAAUUCCAGGUGUAGCGGUGAAAUGCGUAGAUAUCUGGAGGAACACCGGUGGCGAAGGCGGCAUCCUGGACCACGACUGACGCUGAGUGAGCGAAAGCCAGGGGAGCAGACGGG
rnacentral:rRNA from 1 species